rnacentral:rRNA from 1 species
AGCGAACGCUGGCGGCAGGCUUAACACAUGCAAGUCGAACGCCGUAGCAAUACGGAGUGGCAGACGGGUGAGUAACACGUGGGAACGUACCCUUCGGUUCGGGAUAACUCAGGGAAACUUGAGCUAAUACCGGAUACGUCCGAGAGGAGAAAGAUUUAUCGCCGAGGGAUCGGCCCGCGUCUGAUUAGCUUGUUGGUGAGGUAACGCUCACCAAGGCGACGAUCAGUAGCGGUCUGAGAGGAUGAUCAGCCACAUUGGGACUGAGACACGGCCCAAACUCCUACGGGAGGCAGCAGUGGGGAAUAUUGGACAAUGGGCGCAAGCCUGAUCCAGCCAUGCCGCGUGAGUGAUGAAGGCCCUAGGGUUGUAAAGCUCUUUUACCCGGGAA